UACGGUCAUAUCUUGUUGAAACACCGGUUCACGAACGAUCACCGAGGUUAAGCAACGUCGAGUCUUCACAGUACCUAGAUGGGUGAUCGUUUGGGAAUACCAAUUGUUGUAA